AUUGAACGCUGGCGGCAGGCCUAACACAUGCAAGUCGAGCGAGCGGCGGACGGGUGAGUAAUGUAUGGGGACUGCCCGAUAGAGGGGGAUAACUACUGGAAACGGUGGCUAAUACCGCAUACUAUCGGAUAACCCAUAUGGGAUUAGCUAGUAGGUGGGGUAAAGGCUCACCUAGGCGACGAUCUCUCGCUGGUCUGAGAGGAUGAUCAGCAAACAUGGGAGUGAGAACGGGCCCGGACUCCUACGGGGGGAGCAGUGGGGAAUAUUGCACAAUGGGCGAAAGCCUUAUGCAGCCAUGCCGCGGUGAUGAAGAAGGCCUGAGGGUUGUAAAGUAUUUUCAGCGGGGAGGCGUUCCCCGCAGAAGAAGCACCGGCUAACUCCGUGCCAGCAGCCGCGGUAAUA
rnacentral:rRNA from 1 species